rnacentral:rRNA from 1 species
UCUUCCACCUCUGAUGGCUUUUUUAUUUCCCAAGAAAAGUAUAUCCAAGAUCUUCUUGCUCGUGCGGCCCUUACUGAUGAGCGCACUGUUGAGACUCCUAUGGAGCUUAAUGUUCACCUUCGUGCUUCUGAUGGUGAGCCCUUAUCUGAUCCAACUCGUUAUCGUCAUCUUGUUGGGAGUCUUGUCUAUCUCGUUGUCACUCGUCCGGAUAUCUUCUAUCCUGUUCAUAUCCUGAGUCAGUUUAUUUCUUCUCCCACUUCAGUUCACUAUAGUCACCUUCUUCGUGUUCUACGAUAUCUGCGUGGCACGAUUUCUCACCGUCUCUUCUUUCCUCGUUCCGGCUCGUUACAGCUCCAGGCCUAUUCAGAUGCUACCUGGGCUAGUGAUCCUUCGGAUCGCCGUUCACUUUCUGCUUAUUGUGUCUUUCUUGGUGGUUCUCUCAUUGCCUGGAAGACGAAGAAACAGACUGCAGUUUCCCAUUCGAGUGCAGAGGCUGAGUUACGAGCUAUGGCUCUCCUCACGGCAGAGGUGACUUGGUUACGUUGGUUACUUGAGGAUUUUGGUGUUACUGUUACU